rnacentral:lncRNA from 1 species
UAGUAGAUUUAGUGGUAGUUUAGUUAGUUGGUAGAUUCUGUUUAGUUAGUUGGUAGUUUAGUUUGAUGGUAGAUUUAGUUAGUUAAUUAGUAGAUUUAGUAGGUAGUUUAGUGGUAGAUUCUGUUUUCUUAAUUAGUGGUAGCUAGAUUCUUUAUUAAUUACUUAGUGGUAGAUUCUGUUUUGUUAUUUUUGUGUUGUUUAGUGCUAUAUAGUUUUAGCGAUAGGUUUAGUGCUAGGUUAAGUACAUAAGGGAAGAAGAAUAAGAAGAAGAAGAGGAGGAGGAGGAGGAGAAGAAGAAGAAGAAGAAGAAGAAAAAUAGGGGAGAGGAGAAGAAUAAAGAAGAGGAAAAAGGAAAAGAAGGAAGAAGAAGAAGAAGAAGAAGUGGAAUGAGGGAAAGAAGAAGAAGGAAGAAGAAGAAGAAGUAGAAGAAGAGAAGAAGAAGAAGA